CCCCCCAAGUAAGUUUUCUCUCUCCUCUCUCUUUGUCUCCCUCUCUCUUUCUCCUAAAAUUUGAAUAUAUGGGUCCUGUACUUAAAACCUGCCUUAUAUGCACAUAUAUGUCUGUACUUCUUCAUUUUCAGGUUAAAUUGCAUAUCGUCAAUUGGUGAUUUCGCUCCAGAUCGCUGAGAUCUGCUAUUAUUUGCAAAGUCAAAAUUUUUGAAACCCUAGUCAUGAAAAUGCUUUCCAUUUUUGAAAUUUCAGUAUUGUAGAUCUGAUAAUGGGUUUCUGAUUUGGUGCCGGUCAAAAUGCUGGAUGUAGUACGAAGAUUUGAAUAUCAAAAAAUUAUGUGUUCUCGUUAAUGGGUACUUUGGAAUUUUAAUUUUUGUUGAUGGGAAUCUUAGAGUUCCUCUGUUUGGAUCUGGAAAUAAUUGAUAUCUUAGCACAAUAAGUUUUCAUUUGGAUAUGAAUGUGAAAUUGGAAAAUGCGAUUUGAAGUUGUACUUCCUCCUCAUUUUUAUUUCGGAAACUAAGCAGUCGAUUAGGCAUUAUUUGCUUCUUUAGAUGCAGAUGCCCUUUUUCCGGAUCUAUUUACAUUUGAAUCUGUUGUGCUGAAAAUUGAAUGGAUCUGUGUUGGUUGAAGCAUUAUUUCAAUGCACAUUUUUUUUUAUUAUGUUUCCUUACUUAGUUUUGAUGCUAUUGUUGUAUUUGUUUGUUUUCUAAAAUAUAAUUUUGAGGGCUCGUUGAUAGCUGCAGCAUUGCACUGCCACUAAUAUGUCGUCCCAAAACUUGAUGAAAGUUUGAUUUUCUAUAGCAACUGAUAUAAUGCGUCAAUCUAAAACAUAACAAAUGACUAAUUUCCUCCCUGUCGUGUUGUUCAUAACUGUGUAGUUUUCAUGGAUGACGAUGCACUAAACAUGCGCAAUUGGGGUUAUUAUGAACCGACCUUUAAGGGGAAUCUGGGUCUGCAGCUCAUGUCGAGCAUGGCAGACCGUGACACAAAGCAUUUCCUACCCGGGCGUGAUCCUAACAACAUCAUGGUUGGUCCCAACGGAGCUUUUCAUCCACGUGAUUGUGUGGUUUCAGAUGCCUCUGUCCCUAUGAACUAUGUAAGAGACAGUUGGAUAAGCCAGAGGGAGAAGUUUUUGAACAUGUUACCUCCAAAUCCUAAUUAUGCUGUUCUCCCAGAAACAUCUGGAGCUCACUCCAUGCAAGUUUUACAGCCACCCAAUUCAUCUAGGGAUGAGAAGGUGCCUAGGAUUGAGGAGCCAAGCGUAAACAAGGAAGGGAAUCAGUUGAAGAAAAGACAAGGUGGGGGUACCCCAAAAACCCCAAAAGCUAAGAAACCUAGGAAGCCAAAAGAUAGUAGCAACAAUGCAGUUCAGCGUGUGAAGCCAGCUAAAAAAAGUAUGGAUGUUGUCAUAAAUGGGAUUGAUAUGGAUAUUUCAGGUAUUCCUAUUCCAGUUUGCUCUUGUACUGGAACUCCUCAGCAGUGUUAUCGAUGGGGCUGCGGUGGAUGGCAGUCUGCUUGUUGCACUACCAAUGUAUCAAUGUACCCCUUGCCAAUGAGCACUAAAAGACGUGGUGCAAGGAUAGCUGGAAGGAAAAUGAGCCAGGGUGCAUUUAAGAAGGUAUUGGAGAAACUUGCUGCUGAAGGUUAUAACUUUGCUAACCCAAUUGAUUUGAGGACUCACUGGGCAAAACAUGGUACCAACAAGUUUGUCACUAUAAGGUAGAUUUACAUUGCCGGUGCCUAUGGUGGGACUUCCAUUGCAUUUGGUCUGCUUCUCUUGUAUAUAUCUGUGGCCUUUCGCAGAGAUCUAUCUGGUUCAUUGUAGUUCAUGAAUCUUCACAGAUAUGAUACUUGUUUUUGAAAUUCGAACAUAUGCUCUUUUCAAGAAUCACUGUUAAGUGUUCAGUUCUGUUUCUGUUAUAAAGGCAUCUAGUAACUUCUUGCCACCAGGAUGUAGGAUGUGGAUGAAAUUAUUUUUUUUUUGUUGGAUUUUGGAUAACAUCUUUUCCUCCCUUAAAUGAAUCUCUUCAAAGAUUGGUAAAUGAAAGCUCCUUUCAUCAUGUAUUAUUGUAUUUCACAUGAUGGUUCUUUGUUAUUUCAUUUGUAAUAGAUUCUUCUGACUGUUUUGAGAAGUUUGUUGUUGUUAUCACAUUACUGCAUAAGGGAUCUCGUAGGGACACUAACGUUGGUGUUCAGGAUUCUCAUGCUAUGGAAUUUUGUUAAUCUCUCAACUCAUAAUGCUAGAUUUUCCUGUAUUAGCUUUGAGAUUGAUAAUAAGAGAUCUGGUGUCAGACAGCAUGACAUCUGUUUCAUGUUUAUUGUAUCAAGAAUGGCAGUUCCGCAAAAUACAGAUGCAGACUUCUUAAUACAUGUGCAUUUAUGCACAUUUUAUCGUGUUUGUGUUUCUAAGCCUUG
rnacentral:misc_RNA from 1 species